CAGCCGCCGCGGUAAUACGUAGGUGGCAAGCGUUGUCCGGAAUUAUUGGGCGUAAAGGGCUCGCAGGCGGUUUCUUAAGUCAGAUGUGAAAGCCCCCGGCUCAACCGGGGAGGGUCAUUGGAAACUGGGAAACUUGAGUGCAGAAGAGGAGAGUGGAAUUCCACGUGUAGCGGUGAAAUGCGUAGAGAUGUGGAGGAACACCAGUGGCGAAGGCGACUCUCUGGUCUGUAACUGACGCUGAGGAGCGAAAGCGUGGGGAGCGAACAGGAUUAGAUACCCGUGUAGUCCCUGUCUCUUAUAC
rnacentral:rRNA from 1 species